UAUAAGAGUUAAUAUCUGCUACUGUUAUCAGUCAAUGCAUCAUAUUUACCGUAGAUCAUAGAUAAUACGUAAAAUACGACAUAAGAGAUUUAAAUAACUGAGUGUGUGUCAUGUGACACAAUUGAAUAGUCAUUCUACAAUCGAGAAAUUGUAAAAACCAUUUUGUUGUUUGAUAAAUGGUUGGAUAAUACUAGUUCUUCGUUGUAGAGCAGAUUUUCUUUAUCUACCGAGUGUCGUAAUUAUUAACAUCAUAUUUUGUAAUAGCACGCAAUAGUGGAGUGUAUCGUUUUUAUUCUCUUUAUUUAAUCGAUUAAAAUGUCACGCAAUUUAUUAAUUAAUACUGGUAAUAUACUUUCUUUAGAUGAGGCUAAAAAGAAGGCUAGUCAGAAUACAAGAGACGAGUUAGUCGAUACGCUGAAGAUUAUUUUGAGAGAAGAAAAGAAUCAAGGGGACAACAUUGUAUUUAUGAACGGUAUAGGAGAUACUGGUAUUGAAAAUACAGAGAGAGCCGAAUUGAAAGUAACCGUCAAGGUUUUUGUUUCAUCUCCUGAAGCUGAAUCAUUGAAAGAUGCAUUAGACAAGGUCUUUGAACAUUUGAACACGGAUACGAUUGAAUCCUUGGUGAUUGCUUAUACCACUAAACACGAUUCUGAAGAUAUAUUAAUGUCUUUAAAAUCUUUAUGGAGAGCUGUCGAAGAAUAUGUGAAAGUUGGAAAAUUAUCUAGCGUAGGACUAAGCGACUUAAGUACUAAUACGUUUAUUGAACUCUUUCAAUGGGCGAAUGUUAAACCUGCUAUCGUACAAAUUAAUUUAGCUACAUGUUGCGUCGUUCCACCAGCCUUACAAGAAUUUUCUAAAGCGAACGAUGUACAACUAUUAACGCACAGUGAUCCAUCAGAAAUUUUACCGGAGGAUAAGUUGAAGGAGAUAUUUGGUUCGCCAGUGUCAUUACACUGGGUCGUUAAAUAUCAAAUACAUCUUAAAUGUCGAGCUCGGUAAGUUGACCUCCUUACGCUAACGGCAUCGCGAAAAGUACAUAGACCAUAGAUACCAUAGUGCCAUGGUGCCAUAUACUAUAUAUACACUAUAGCAUAAACAAAAUCGGAAAGGAAGGAAGGAAGGAAGGAAGGAAGGAAGGAAGGAAGGAAGGAAGGAAGGAAGAUUUGAAAGGAUAGAAAAGAAGAAUCGAGGAACGGAGCAAAGUAAGCGAAGUAACCCAGGCAACCCAAGGAAAGCAGCAAGCAGCAAGCAACCAGUCAUGAGGCCCCUUUUACCUUUACGUAUAGUCCUCCGCGUGGCUUUCUUCGCAUCGCCGCUCUAGAUCUUCGGAUAAGAGGGAACACCAUUUUAGCGGUUCCUUACACACCAGACAUCCGUUCCAUUCCCUACACCGAAGCAGCACAAACUCCUUCUUUGCUAACUCCUUCUUUCUUUGGGUAACUUCAGAGCGAUCUAGGUAGAGAGAUAGAUAUAUAGGUAUAUGUACAACACAAGAUGAUAGGGGAAGAAAAAAAGAGAUUGCUUGGCAGAAACUAGAUGUCGUCUAUGCGGAUUUCCAAUCAUAACACUUAAUAAUAAAGCAAGAAAAUUAUGAAAAGUUGUUUUUUAAAUAUUAUAUUGGAAUAAAUUACGAUAAUGAGACGCGAUGAAAAAAAGUAACAUAAGUUUAUAUUUUACAUUCAUUAGAGGACGUGUCUAAUGGGAGAAGAUGAAAUUGAAAAUGCAUGAGAGGCGAGUGGAAGAUGAUCAUGAUCUUACGUUGCUUGUAAUUCGAAAGAUUAUAAUCCCACGUAUCGGUACCUAAUUUGUUGCGUGAGAACGAAGGAAGCAGAAAAUAGGGUACCGUUUUGCGUGAUAACGAGCGACGAGGGUCUUACCACUUCUCUCUCUCUCUCUCUCUCUCUCUCUCUCUCUCUUUCUUUCUUUUUCUAAUCUCGCUGAGAUCUUGAAAAAGACAUUGUAU
rnacentral:misc_RNA from 1 species